GUUCUUGGUGGGGCGGGUCCGCUUCCUCUUCACCAUUACAGGCUUCCGGCUUAUCGUGUGUCUGAUGCUGCUGAGCGUGGCGCGAGCAUUCUUGUUGAUGGUGGUCCGCACAUAGGAGGUGGCAGGCUUCCGCUGGCUGGAUCUCCGCUUCAUGACCACCACACCUCUGCUGUCGGCUGCAGGCUCCACGCCCACAGUCUUGCGGUGAAUCAGCCCUUUUUAGCGAAGGAGUUGCGGGCCUUCAAGUUAUUGGGCUCUGUGCUGUCUGUCUACUUCUUCCUCUUGAUCAGGAAACUGGAGCAGUUCCUCACGACCAUCCAUUGCAGAUGCGCAGACAUGGCGGCGGCUUCUCUCGCAGCGGCCUCAGGGGCAAUUUAAAAGGUCCGCGCUGCGUUUAUGAGCUGUAACACGCACCACCGAGAAGGUCUGCAGCUUCACUGCAGAAGCCAGUGAGACCACAAACCUACCGAAAGUAAGAAACUCUGGACACAUGUGAACAUCUGAGGGAACAAACUCCGGACACACCAUCUUUCAGAACUGUAACACUCACCGCGAGCGUCGGCGGCUUGGUUCUUGAAGUCAGCGAGACCAAGAACCCACCAAUUCCGAACACUCUAUGGGACCAUCUAGUUGCAGGAAAACAAGCUCAGGGUUCCCACUGAUUCUACACUAUGAUAUGUCUACCUCUCAACCUGCAGAGCCUAUGAAUAUUGCCUUAUCCAGAAAAAGGGUCUUUGGAGAUAUAAUUAUGUUUCUUCAGAAGAGGAGCUUAUCUUGGAUUAUUCAAGUAGCUUCCAAAUGCAAUGACAGAUCUUUGUAAGAGAUGCAUAGAGGAGACAGAUGUACAGGAGGAAGCCAAGUGAAGACAGAGGCAAAGAUGAGUGAUCCAGUCACAAGCUUCUGACUGCCAUCAGAAGCUGGAAGAGAGAUGGGGUCUCGCUAUGUUGCCCAGUCUGGUCUCAAACUCCUAGCCUCAAGUGAUCCUUCUCCCUUGGCCUCCCAAAGUGCUGGGAUUACAAGCAUGAGCCACGAUGGCUGGCCCUGAAUUUGGACUUCCGGCCAAAAAACUUUAUGGAGGCUUGUGUUGAUGUGGAGGUGCAGUGAUGUGGAAGUGGCCUGAGAUGCUGAGCUCACAGGGUCUCUCCCUGUUGCCUAGGCUGGAGUGCAGUGGCACAAUAACAACUCACCGCAGCCUCGACCUCCUGGACGCAAGUGAUCAUAGUUUUAUUUCUAUGCCUUCUGAAGGACUAGAUACAGAAGACAGUAAUAGCUUGAGCCUGAGAUGGGAAAAAACUUUCUUAAAAUCAAAGAAAAUUCAUGAUGGCCAGAAUUUACACACUGCUUCAAUUCUUUUCAUCUAUAUUUUCAAAAAGAUACUUGGUCAUACUUUGCAAAACUUGUCACAGAAAAGAAAUUAUAGUCUGGAUAAACAAAGAGUAAAUAUUCAUUCAUAGCUGCUACACAUUCAUCUCUAUAUAAAACCUACUCUCCCCUCUGAAAAAGCAGCAUAACCAGUCAACGAACAAGUAUAUAGGAUUAGCACAUUAUGAAGAAUAAAGAGAAGCUUUCAGCUCUCCGUCAUGGAUGAUAUUUAUCACAUUUUCCACGACUGGCUCUAAUAACAGUGCAGAGAUAAAAUAGGCUUGAUGCAUCUUUCCUGUACAGAGAAUUUUACAACAGCAACUGUAAGAAAUUCAGGAGAUGAAACACUUCUCCCCUCUUGCAGUUUUUAUUAGUCUUAAAAAUGGGAGGUGGGUGUGUGGGGGAGACUGUUUCUACAAAAGUGGGCUUGAAUUUUCUGUCUGUUAUGCUAAUGUAUUCAUAGAAAAAGCUGGUGCUGAGGGCGGUUCUCCAAUUAAGACAAAUGAGGCACAUUGAAUUUCUCCCCCAGGGCACAGCAGGGGUGCUGGCAAAAUCUACUUUAUUCUUUUCUGUCAGGACUGAACUGGAAACAAAAGCAUGAAAAUUCAACACAUCCACUUACAGAAUAAUAAAGGCUGUUGUUUAAAGCGUGAAGAGUUUUGGCACCCUUCUGGGGCCUUAUGCAAAUCGCUCUUCCUCUCAACUGCUACCACACCAUCGGUCUUGGAAAUUAAAGAUGUACUUGGUCGGUUAACAGCUGAAAGGAGAAGAGCAGCCUGAAACUCAAUUAGAUUUGUAUUAAGCAAAUAAAUCAGGACUGACUGAUAUUGGCUAAACUAAAAUGCAUUAUGGGCUGACAGUAAUUCUAAUUUGAUGGACAAAUAUAUGUAGUGUGUUAUUAACCUAAAUGAAAGAUGAGAAUCCUUUUUUUUUCUUUUUAAAGGAUUUUGUUCUAGUAAACAAUCCGCUCUCCCUCUGAACUUACACAAAACAAUAAACAGAGACUACUGGUAUGGUUCUGUUUACAAUCCAUGCUCAAGAACACAGGAAAUCUAUUUUCUAUUACGUGGUUAGAGUUUGAGACAAAAUUAUUGUGCUGAAAGACAUUUGUUUUUAUCGAUUUAUUUGGUGUAAUGUAACAUCUCAACACAUUAUUUAUUUGGUACACCAAGCACGCUAUUUUUAUUAUGGUGAGUAACACAAAAGCAUAGACCUGGUAUAUGUCUCAUUAUUUAUUCGGAACCCUGUAGUAUAGGAGGCUUUUCCACACCAGGGCACAUACAAAGGGGCCUCAAAUAUGGUUCAAAGUCAUAAAUGAAGAUUUCAAUAAAAUCCUCCAAAGCUUUGAGGAAAACAAAAAACACUCAACAAAUAGCAUAAACGUGUUGGUGUGUGUGGUUGGAUAAGACAUUUCCUUUGAAAGAAGAGUUUUGGGAGUUUCAACUUACUUCCUUGUCUUUGCUGUUUACACCUUUAGAACUUACAGAAAUGGCCAGGUGUGGUGGCUCACACCUGUAAUCACAGCACUUUGAGAGGCUGAGGCAGGAGGAUGGGUUGAACACAGGAGUUUGAGAUCAGUCUGGGCAACAUGGAGAAAUCCUCAUCUUUAAAACAUACUUUUUGACAAACUUAGCCACGCUUGGUGGCACAUGCCUGUGGUCCCAGCCACUCAGGAGGUUGAGGCAGAGGAUUGCUUGAGCUUAGCAGUUCGAGGUCGCAGUCAACUAUGAUCACACCACUGCAAUCUAGCCUGGGCAACAGAAUGAGACCCUGUCUCAAAAACAACAACGAGAAAAACCUUACAGAGAUUUAGGUCAUUACAUUUAACAUCCUGCUAAAUUAAUAAUUAACUAGUAACUUAAUACUUUUGCUUUGGUUGUAACUAUGUUCUAUUUUCGUCACCUUUUCCUUCUGGCUAUCAGAUUAAAGACUCAUUGACUCACUGUUGUCUUUCAAUUAUCUUUCCUUCUACAUUUCCUACCUGGCUCUUCUUGCCAAAUCCUGCUGCGUUUUGCUCUGCAUAGGUGCCAGAAAUUGUCUAUUUCUCCCCUUCAAAACUUGUCCAAACCUUUGCCCCUGUGUGGGCAGCUUCCUGCCGCAGCUCUUGCCAGUACCUGUUCUCAUAUCUCCUUGUUGGGGCUCAGAAAGCAACACCCCAAAACAUGGUGCUUUGGCACUGCUGAGCACUUUGAACUGGAGAUCAGAAGGCCUUAGAAGCUGCUUCAGAAGCAAAAUCUCUGACCUUCUCCUGUUCUCUCGUCCUCUCCCUCUCCUUCUCCUCCAAAACAAGUUAUAGAGUCUAGAAUUUCUCUUCCCCAAGGCAGGUUAUAGAAACUAGAUCUCCUCUCCCCAAAAAGCAAGCCAUAAAGAAGACCCUCAUUCCAAAGGAGUCCUUCCCUGUAGCCAGGAGGAAGGAAUGCCACACAGAGAGGCCAAGGUGAAUUGGAACAGACAGGGAUUGCUGGGUUUUCACCCCUACAGUCUAUUACCACUAGAUCAUUCCCUUUGUCCAGUCACAUUUCUACGUGGCUGUCUAUUCUUCAUUGAAUCUAAGCAUAAAAACAGACAAUUUUCCCUCAGUCUUUGACUCCUCAUAUCUCAAAGUUUGAGAUAUGAAGACUCAAUCUUUGUCAUGUAAAACUUGAUUAUAUCAAGUAACUUUGUUAUGCCUUUUUUUUUUGAGUUGGAGUCUCGCUGUGUCGCCCAGGCUGGAGUGCUGUGGCGCGAUCUCGGCUCACUGCAAGCCUCGCCUCCCAGGUUCACGCCAUUCUCCUGCCUCACCUCCCGAGUAGCUGGGACUACAGGCACCCGCCACCACACCUGGCUAAUUUUUUUGUAUUUUUAGUAGAGACGGGGUUUCACUGUGUUAGCCAGUGUGGUCUCGAUCUCCUGACCUCAUGAUCCGCCCGCCUUGGCCACCCAAAGUGCUGGGAUUACAGGUGUGAGCCACUGUGCCCAGCCUGUUACGCCUUUUUCUGGUUAAGCUUCCCCCACUCCCCACCUUUUUUUUUGUUUCAGAGGGUAUAUGUGCAGAUGUAUUACAUGGGUAUAUUGUGUGAUGCUGAGAUUUAGGGUACAGAUGGUCUUGUCACCCAGGCAGUGAGCAUAGUACCCAAUAGGUGGUUUUUCAGCCCACGCCCCCUUCCCUUCUCCUUCUAGUAGUCCUCAGUGUCUAUUGUUCCCUUCUUUGUGUCCAUGUGUACUCAAUGUUUAGCUCCUACUUGUGAGAACACACAGUAUUUGUUUUUCUGUUCCUGUGUUAAUUCAUUAAUUCACAUAGGAUAAUGGCCUUCAGCUGUAUCCAUGUUGCAAACGACAUGAUUUUUUUCUUUCUUAUGGCUGUGUAGUAUUCCAUGGUAUAUAUGUACUGUCUUUUGUUAUAGGAGUGUUGGCCAUGACCCUUAUGAUGGAUGAGGAAAGGGAUCAUACCUUUCUGUCCCACAUCCUCUACUGAACAUAUCAAAGAUUCUUGGCCAAAACCAAUUUUCCCUGACACUCUGUCUCAACUGUUCUUUCCCAUUAUAAUUGGUGUUGAUAUGGACAGGAGGCAGAGAAAUACUAGGUAGAAAAGGGUGGGGCUUCUGGCAAGUGUUCUACCCCCAAGCCUGGACCCACGUCCCUAAAUGAGAACUUCACAUCCCUGUUUUUCUGCGCAAAUAUUACCUUAUGUGCUGCCACCCUCACAUCCUGUGUCCAUAAAAACUCCAAGCUCCACUGGCAGAGGAGCCCAGUGGUGUGGCAGAAAAGGAGAGAAGAGAAGAGGCAGCUGGACAUUGGAGACUACAGUCAGAGAGGAGUUUGGCUGUCUCCAGCUGAACUCCAGGGGAAGAUUAUCUUCCUACUCCAUCCCCUUUCCAGCUCCCCAUCCUACUGAGAGCCACUUCCACUGCUCAAUAAAAUCUCCACAUUGAUUAUCCUUCAAGUCUGUGUGAACUGAUUCUUCCUGGAUGCUGGACAAGAACCCAGGUACCAAGAGGGCAGGGUGUAAAAGCCUGUCACCCUGAUCCUCCACUGACCUGGUUUAACACUUAGCCAUCUGUGGAUGGCAAAUGCUAAAAGAUCAUUGUAAGACAUGCCCUCUGGGGCUCUAGAGGUCACUAGCAACCCCUAGACACUGCCAUGGGCCAGUACCAGGUUCGUUCCUUGCUCCUGCACCUGCCAACCUGCAAGCUUCCCCUCCUGUAAGGAGUUUGAGUGCGGUGGCCGAGCAAAGGAGACACCCCUGUUGCAAGUCCCAUGAGGGGGUCAAGGGAACUCUCCCGUCUCAAUAUUCCUCACUGAUAAUGAGAGCAAAGAACACCAUAGAAUGAGACUUCAUGAAUUGCCAUCAAGUUUUGCACACAGUUACUUUCAUCCCAGAUUAAAGUCUCUCUUUUUAGCUUUUCCAACAGUUGUCAUCUCAGACCACUCAACUGCUGCUCUCACUUCUCUCUUCUCCUUCCUCUGCAGAGCUGGCCAUACUCUUUUUUUUUUUGUCACUCUUUUUUUGUUACAUUUUUGCUUGCUUUCUUGUCAUUUCCUUUAAAAUUCAUCAACAAAAUUAGUUUAUUAAACUUUGAUAUCCAUCCCAGUACUCAUAUAUAAUUUGAUAGUGACAAUCCUUCCACUUAUUGUGAGUUUAGAAUAACUUUGUUCUAUAAUAUUGAUUAGGUUCAGGGCACACUAACCCAAAAUAUGGCACCUUGGCAUAUUGAAUAUUUUAAGCUGAAAGAAUCUGAGAAAUUCCCUAUGCUGGAAGGACUUUCUGACUUUCCCUAAAGCAGGUCAUGUGAGAGGUGCCCUCCUUAUACCUGGAGGAAAGGAGCAUCCAUAUCUCCAAAGACACAGGGAUGCUGAGAGGAAUCUGAAUGGACAAGCCUUGUCGUUUCUCCUAGUUUAUUAUAAUUAGCACAUGCCCAUUUUAUGCUAUCAUAUUUCCCCAUGACCGUCUACUCUUCAUCAAACCUAGCAUAAAGCAACCCAGUUUUAAGCACUUCUUUGGGUCUUCAUUUCCUAUUGAAGGCUCCAGUGUCACGCAAAACAUACACAUUUCUAUGAUUCUUUCUUUCUGUCUUUUGUUCCAGGGGCCCCAGCCAAUGAACCUAAAAUGAGUAAAAGAUAAAGAUGUUUUUCUCCUCCCCAACAAUAUUUGAUUAAUGCUUUUUCAGGUUUCAGACUUUUAGUUAACAUUCUGUAUUGUGAGAUUACUUUUAAAAAAUGAGAUUCAAUCUAAUUUCUUAAAUAAACUUGUGUAUACCUCUUUGGUUGUUCAUUUUGGUUUUUUAUUCCAUUUAGGAACAGUAAUGUCAUAGACUUUUGACAUUCACUGGAUGCCCAUUCAAUGGGCCUUCAUAAAUCUCAAUAAUUUUUUUUCAUUUUAAAAAAUCAUGAUAAAACACAUACGACGUAAACUUUACCAUUGUAACCAUUUUUAAGUAUACAAUUCAGUGGCAUUAAGAACAUUCACAAUGUUGUAUGAUGUGGUUCAGAACACACUGCCCCAAAAUAUGGCACUUUGGCAUAUUGAGUAUUUUAAACUGAAGGAAUUUGAGAAAUAGGUGCUAGAAGGACUCUCUGACCUCCUGUUUUUCCCUUGAAGCAGAUCCCAAGACCCUCAUGUAAGAGGUGCCCUUGCUAUACUCAGAGGAAAAGAGCAUCCCUACCUCUGAAGAGGGAGGGAUGCCGAGAGGAAUCUGAAUGAACAGGGCUUGUUGUUUUCCCCAGAUUACUACCCUUAGCUCAUAGCCUUUGUCCUAUUACAUUUUUCCAUGACUUUUUACUCUUCCUCAAAUCUAGUAGAAAAAUGCACAGGCUUAACUGUUGCUUUGUCUUCAUUUCCUUAUAAAGUUUCCUUGGCCACAUAAAACUUACAUUAAAUAAAUUUUUACAUAUUUUUUCUUGUUAAUCUGUCUUUCGUUAGUCUAAUUUACAGGGUCCCAGUCAGAUAACCUAAAAGGAUAGAGACAAAGGAUAUUUUUUUUCUCUCCUACAUGUGCAAGUAUCACUGUUAUUUCCAGAGCUUUUUUAAAAUCUCAAAUCAUAACACUACCCAUUAAACAAUACCUCCCCAUUCUUUCCUCCCAGCCUCUGGUAAUCACGAUUCCACUUCUUGUCUCUGUGAACUUGACUAUUCUAGAUAUAUAAGUGGAAUCAUACAAUGUUGAUUCUGUUGUGGCUGGCUUAUUUACUUAGCGUAACAAUAAUGUUUUCAGGCUUCAUCCCGUUUGCAGCAUGUAUCAGAAUUUCCUUCCUUUUUUAAGGCUGAAUAAUAUUCCAUUACAUGUAUAUACUGCAUUUUGUUUAUCCAUUCAUCUGUUGGUGGACAUUUGGUUUGCUCCUAUCAUUUGGCUAUUAUAAUAGUGCUGCUAUGAACAUGGGUGUACAAGUAUCAGUUUGGGUUCUUGCUUUCAGUUCUUUUGGAUAUUGAAUCUCAAGAUUUGAUAAGAAGUGCAGCAUAUGAUUUUUCCAAUAAAACUUACAUUUUCCUUUUUCGACCCUUUCGUGUCUUCUUUCCAGUCAUAACCCUUGUAGUUCAUUUCCUCUGUGUGGCUAUUUUCUGCCAAGAAAUGCAGCUUUAUAUCCAUUUGCGGGCAAAGGUAAGUCAAAACCAGCAAGGUGAUAAUUAUUGUUCCCUUCCCACCACUGUGUACCUGUGCAACUAGUCUGCAAAGAGGAACAUUGCCAAAUUCUAGAUCUGUGAUCAAUUACGCAAUUUAAACCAAACUGUAUCCUGCGGGGCAUAAAUUUCAUACCUCAGACUCAUACUCAAAGUAUUUUUCUGCUUCUUACAUUGCUAGGGAAGGGAGGGAAAGUAACACAGGAAGCCAGAUGUGAGAGGACUAGAUUGACACCUGGGUAAUUAGAAGGCUUUGUUCCCUAAACCCCAGUUAAAUAGUGUUGAACUAUCACUCAGUACUAGCAGAAACAGUUUCCUUUUGCUUUUUUCUAAAACCAACUACUAAAUAAUAUUAGGGUAUCUUUGAAGCAAUAAUGUGUAAUCACUUACAGUUCUUUUGAAGGGAAUGUAUUUAAGAUUAAAAAAAAAAAAAAAAGCCCAAAGGCAGAGAGCUUUAAAUAGUACCCAUUUGGUAAUAAAUACCAUUACUUCCCCUCUCCAACCUGCCCUACUCCCUCCCCCAUAACGCUUAACACAAAGCUUCAGAUUUAGUUUUGGAGAGAGUGAGUCUACAUUCACUUGAAGAAAACUCUUGUUUUUCAUUUGUUCUGUUGACUUCACUAUAUUUUAAAAUAUAAGUGUGUUGUGGAGAACAUACUGAAUUCUGAAUUACUAAGUUGCAUAUCCAUUUGUUGUAGAAGAGGAUUUCAGUCCAACAGUAAAAGAUUUUAGCUUGUCUCUAUAGCAGGGGUUCUUGAUCCCUAAGACAGGUAAAGAUGAGAUGAGAGGGAGAGAAGAGACACACACAGAGAGGCUUGUGAUUCCUUGAGGGGCACUACUACUCACAUCUCCUUUUGUUUUUCUUGCAGACAUAGAGAAGGGAUGGUGAUGGUGAUGGAGGGUCUCCAGGGGAUUCACACGAGUUGUGGUGGCAUCUCACUAGGCAUUGACAAGGGAAAAAAAUCCCACCCACAUGCUUGGCACGCCUGGGCGAAGCCAGCAAGGACAGUCUCUAAAGUACCCUCAGAUGGAAGUGUCCAUGGAGCAGUUGUGAUAUGGUUUGGUUGUGUCCCUACCCAAAUCUCAUCUUGAAUUGUAGUUCCCAUAAUCCCUAUGUGUCAUGGGAGGGACCUGGUGGGAGGUGAUUGGAUCAUGGGGGUGGUUACCCCCAUGCUGUUCUUAUGAUACUGAGUGAAUUCUCACGAGAUCUGAUGGUCUUAUGAGGGGCUUUCCCCCUUUGCUCGGAACUUCUGUCUCACCUGCCGCUAUGUGAAGAAGGAUGUGCCUACUUUCCCUUGCACUAUGAUUGUCAGUUUCCUGAGGCCUCUCCAGCUAUGUGAAACUGUGAGUCAAUUAAACCUCUUUCCCUUAUAAAUUACCCAGUCUCAGGCUGCUCUUUAUAGCAGCAUGAGAAUGGACUAAUACAAGUUGUCAUCUAGACUAGUCUGCUCAAAGCUUGUCUUCAGUCAACUAGGUAUAGUCCUGAUUCCAAGUAGAAAUAGCCAGGAGGUGGCCUAAGGGGCAAGGCAUAGGGGCUAUCUCUUCGGGCAGGUGGGAGUUCUGCCUCUUUCUAGUACCUCAUGGGGCAGCUCUCCCAGCUCCUCUGUACCCUGAGGCCCCCAAAUUGGCAGGUUGUUUUUUCUUAGUUCUCAACAUCACAUUUCUUUAUUUCAUUUCCCAAGAUAUACCUCAAAUAUAGACAUUUUAAAAAGUGAAUGCCCUCUCUGUGCAUCUUAAGGGAUUUUUCAGAGGUGUGCUCAUACCCUUACUUCACACACACACACACACACACACACACACACACACAGUUCUAUCAAUCUAUCUAUCUACCUACCUGCCUAUUGAUCUACCUACCAUCUAUCGCCUCUCUAUUGUCUACUUUUAUCUAGGGAGAGCCCUGGCAGUGGUCAGUUAGUCAAAAAUAUUGCCAAGGUAGGAAAACGUGAAAAAUGAUAUAUAUAUACAUUACACAUCCAUCCAUCAAUCUUUUUAUGAAGGGAUAAGGGCUAUUCAACCUAUUGAGAAAUACAGCAUAGUUUUUCUUGCACAUACUUACAAAUUAAUGGUCUAUAGUUUGCAGUUUUUGUUUCUUUCAAGUGAGGUGAGAGUGUAUAGACAAUGUGCAAGUAGAAUCUUUCCAGAUAAGUGAUUCUCAAAUGUUGGCAUCUGGAUUUCUUAGCUUCAUCCCCAG
rnacentral:lncRNA from 1 species